UCACCCUAUUUGUAUCUCUUGUGUCUGUGUAGUUUCUGAAGAUGCUGUGGGCUCGCAGAUGACUUUCUCCAAGACCAGUCCCAUUCCCAGUCUUUGGAAACCUCUUGCAGCUCAACUUUAAAUUUGAUCAUGAGGGCCUCAAAAAGCCAUAUCAGUGGAACUAGCUGAAAAUUAUAAAAUUUGUAAACUCAGUAGGGGCAAGAAGAAAAAUUCAGAGGAAACAUCUUUGAAGUGUUUAUGGAGCCAAAUCACGAGGUAUUACGUUCCCAAUGGUCGAGCCUGGAAGCAGCAGAGACGUUUUUGAUUCGUAAAUCAUGAUCCUGCAGAAACUGGGAACGGGGAAGGAGCACCGAAUACAGGAGGAGGCCUGCCACGAGGUGGAGCAC